rnacentral:rRNA from 1 species
CCUACGGGGGGCAGCAGUGAGGAAUAUUGGUCAAUGGACGAGAGUCUGAACCAGCCAAGUAGCGUGAAGGAUGACUGCCCUAUGGGUUGUAAACUUCUUUUAUAUGGGAAUAAAGUGUUCCACGUGUGGGAUUUUGUAUGUACUAUAUGAAUAAGGAUCGGCUAACUCCGUGCCAGCAGCCGCGGUAAUACGGAGGAUCCGAGCGUUAUCCGGAUUUAUUGGGUUUAAAGGGAGCGUAGGUGGGUUGUUAAGUCAGUUGUGAAAGUUUGCGGCUCAACCGUAAAAUUGCAGUUGAAACUGGCAGUCUUGAGUACAGUAGAGGUGGGCGGAAUUCGUGGUGUAGCGGUGAAAUGCUUAGAUAUCACGAAGAACUCCGAUUGCGAAGGCAGUUCACUGGACUGCAACUGACACUGAGGCUCGAAAGUGUGGGUAUCAAACAGGAUUAGAUACCCUAGUAGUC